rnacentral:rRNA from 1 species
UGGGGAAUUUUGCACAAUGGGGGAAACCCUGAUGCAGCGACGCCGCGUGAUUUAGAAGGCCUUCGGGUUGUAAAAAUCUUUUGUAUAGGAAGAAAAUGACAGUACUAUACGAAUAAGGACCGGCUAAUUACGUGCCAGCAGCCGCGGUAAUACGUAAGGUCUGAGCGUUGUCCGGAAUCAUUGGGCGUAAAGGGUACGUAGGCGGGUAAGCAAGUUAGAAGUGAAAUCCUAUAGCUCAACUAUAGUAAGCUUUUAAAACUGCUCAUCUUGAGGUAUGGAAGGGAAAGUGGAAUUCCUAGUGUAGCGGUGAAAUGCGCAGAUAUUAGGAGGAAUACCGGUGGCGAAGGCGACUUUCUGGCCAUAACCUGACGCUGAGGUACGAAAGCGUGGGUAGCAAACAGG